rnacentral:ncRNA from 2 species
AGGCUCACAACCGCCAGUGGUUCGCCGUGCCCGCGGUCUGGGUGCGGCGAGGCAACAGGGAACCCGGUGCGAUUCCGGGACUGCCCCGCAGCGGUGAGUGGGAACGACCGCCGUCAUGAAGCACUGGGCGAGAGCCUGGGAAGCGACGGCCAGUAGGUCCGGGUCCGUGCCCGGGUGCCCGCGAGUCCGAAGACCUGCCACAGGUGCGCGUGCCGC